CUUAACACAUGCAAGUCGAGGGGCAGCAUGGUCUUAGCUUGCUAAGGCCGAUGGCGACCGGCGCACGGGUGAGUAACACGUAUCCAACCUGCCGUCUACUCUUGGACAGCCUUCCGAAAGGAAGAUUAAUACAAGAUGGCAUCAUGAGUCCGCAUGUUCACAUGAUUAAAGGUAUUCCGGUAGACGAUGGGGAUGCGUUCCAUUAGAUAGUAGGCGGGGUAACGGCCCACCUAGUCUUCGAUGGAUAGGGGUUCUGAGAGGAAGGUCCCCCACAUUGGAACUGAGACACGGUCCAAACUCCUACGGGAGGCAGCAGUGAGGAAUAUUGGUCAAUGGGCGAGAGCCUGAACCAGCCAAGUAGCGUGAAGGAUGACUGCCCUAUGGGUUGUAAACUUCUUUUAUAAAGGAAUAAAGUCGGGUAUGUAUACCCGUUUGCAUGUACUUUAUGAAUAAGGAUCGGCUAACCCCGUGCCAGCAGCCGCGGUAAUACGGAGGAUCCGAGCGUUAUCCGGAUUUAUUGGGUUUAAAGGGAGCGUAGAUGGAUGUUUAAGUCAGUUGUGAAAGUUUGCGGCUCAGCCGUAAAAUUGCAGUUGAUACUGGAUAUCUUGAGUGCAGUUGAGGCAGGCGGAAUUCGUGGUGUAGCGGUGAAAUGCUUAGAUAUCACGAAGAACUCCGAUUGCGAAGGCAGCCUGCUAAGCUGCAACUGACAUUGAGGCUCGAAAGUGUGGGUAUCAAACAGGAUUAGAUACCCUGGUAGUCCACACGGUAAACGAUGAAUACUCGCUGUUUGCGAUAUACUGCAAGCGGCCAAGCGAAAGCGUUAAGUAUUCCACCUGGGGAGUACGCCGGCAGCGGUGA
rnacentral:rRNA from 1 species